UACGGAGGGGGCGAGCGUUGUCCGAAGUUACUGGGCGUAAAGCGCGCGUAGGCGGGUUGGUAAGUCUGCUGUGAAAGUCCGGAGCUUAACUCCGGAGGGUCGGUGGAUACUGCCAGUCUUGAAGAUGCUAGGGGGAGAUGGAAUUACCGGUGUAGCGGUGAAAUGCGUAGAUAUCGGUAGGAACACCAGUGGCGAAGGCGGUUCCCUGGGGCACUCUUGACGCUGAUGCGCGAAAGCUGGGGGAGCGAACGGG
rnacentral:rRNA from 1 species